UGUAAGAAAGGGGCUCAAAUUGAUUCCUGUCCAUUUGAUAAGGUGAGAAAUAGUCACAAAAACUCAAGUAGAUUACUAUUCCUGAGUUGGAGAUGUCAAUUGAAUGAACCCAAAUUAGAAUCAGGAAUUAGCAUUAAGUUUUCUGAAAUAUUAAACCAAUUCUAUUUUCUUCAUGCCAGAGCACUUUGAGGAUAAUUAGUGGUGCUUUUCUAGAGCAGACCUCCAGCGAUACUAGCAAUCUUAUUGUACAUGAACAUUGUAAUUUGCAUAUAGAUAUGAAGAUUCGGGACCAGAUAAUAUAGGACCCAGAAUUGCGUACCUCGACCUGUUGUUGCAACGACUG
rnacentral:misc_RNA from 1 species